AUGAACGCUGGCGGCGUGCUUAACACAUGCUUUUCGAACGAAGCACCUUAUUUGAUUUCCUUCGGGACUGAUUAUUUUGUGACUGAGUGGCGGACGGGUGAGUAACGCGUGGGUAACCUGCCUUGUACAGGGGGAUAACAGUUGGAAACGGCUGCUAAUACCGCAUAAGCGCACGGCAUCGCAUGAUGCAGUGUGAAAAACUCCGGUGGUAUAAGAUGGACCCGCGUUGGAUUAGCUAGUUGGUGAGGUAACGGCCCACCAAGGCGACGAUCCAUAGCCGACCUGAGAGGGUGACCGGCCACAUUGGGACUGAGACACGGCCCAAACUCCUACGGGAGGCAGCAGUGGGGAAUAUUGCACAAUGGGCGAAAGCCUGAUGCAGCGACGCCGCGUGAGCGAAGAAGUAUUUCGGUAUGUAAAGCUCUAUCAGCAGGGAAGAUAAUGACGGUACCUGACUAAGAAGCACCGGCUAAAUACGUGCCAGCAGCCGCGGUAAUACGUAUGGUGCAAGCGUUAUCCGGAUUUACUGGGUGUAAAGGGAGCGCAGGCGGUGCGGCAAGUCUGAUGUGAAAGCCCGGGGCUCAACCCCGGUACUGCAUUGGAAACUGUCGUACUAGAGUGUCGGAGGGGUAAGCGGAAUUCCUAGUGUAGCGGUGAAAUGCGUAGAUAUUAGGAGGAACACCCGUGGCGGAGGCGGCUUACUGGACGAUAACUGACCCUGAGGCUCCAAAGCGUGGGGAGAAAACAGGAUAGAUACCCUGGGAGUCCCGCCGUAAAAGAAUAAUAAUAAGGGUUGGGGAACAAUUGUUUCUUCGGGCCUUCCCAAAAGCAGUAAGUUUUCCACCCGGGGGGGACGUUCCCCAGAAUGAAAUCAAAGGAAAUUGACGGGGACCGCCCCCAGCGGGGGGGCCUGUGGUUUUUAUUCUUAAGAACCGCGAAGAACUUUCCCAAGCCUUGAAUUCUUUUGAACCGGGACUUAACCGUACCUUCUCUUCGGAGCAGGAGUGACAGGUGGUGCAUGGUUGUCGUCAGCUCGUGUCGUGAGAUGUUGGGUUAAGUCCCGCAACGAGCGCAACCCUUAUCUUUAGUAGCCAGCGGUUAGGCUGGGCACUCUAGAGAGACUGCCAGGGAUAACCUGGAGGAAGGCGGGGAUGACGUCAAAUCAUCAUGCCCCUUAUGACUUGGGCUACACACGUGCUACAAUGGCGUAAACAAAGGGAAGCAAAGCUGUGAAGCCGAGCAAAUCUCAAAAAUAACGUCUCAGUUCGGACUGUAGUCUGCAACCCGACUACACGAAGCUGGAAUCGCUAGUAAUCGCAGAUCAGAAUGCUGCGGUGAAUACGUUCCCGGGUCUUGUACACACCGCCCGUCACACCAUGGGAGUUGGGAAUGCCCGAAGCCAGUGACCUAACCGAAAGGAAGGAGCUGUCGAAGGCAGCCUCGAUAACUGGGGUGAAGUCGUAACAAGGUAGCCG
rnacentral:rRNA from 1 species